rnacentral:rRNA from 1 species
UACGUAGGGUGCAAGCGUUAAUCGGAAUUACUGGGCGUAAAGCGUGCGCAGGCGGUUGUGCAAGACAGAUGUGAAAUCCCCGGGCUCAACCUGGGAACUGCAUUUGUGACUGCACAGCUGGAGUGCGGCAGAGGGGGAUGGAAUUCCGCGUGUAGCAGUGAAAUGCGUAGAUAUGCGGAGGAACACCGAUGGCGAAGGCAAUCCCCUGGGCCUGCACUGACGCUCAUGCACGAAAGCGUGGGGAGCAAACAGG